rnacentral:lncRNA from 1 species
UGACUGACUGUACAAAGUGUUAUUUUGUAAAGUUAUAAAAUACCGUUUAUACAUGAUAAAACUUUCAAAUUGGUACAAAUGUGUAUCAGUAAGGCUAGUACCUCAAACAAGGAAAAUGAGGAGCAUAUUGCUCAUUAUGUGUGAAAUUUGCCCAUUGAGAGUAGUCCACCUGCUCGGAUGUGAGGUCAGAGUCUCAGAGAUGAACUGAGCCUCUGGAGGAGAGCCUGGGAUCUAGGAUGAACCACUGGUGACGGCAAUGGCAGCAGCAACUCUCCAGCACCACCUGAAUGACACUCUUGAAACAUCAAAGAGCUCCACAAUGGACUUUACAUUGUCUGGAGACAGGAAAUUUAAAGAAAUUAAAUAGACUCUGUUUAUUGGCCCUGGAGGCUGACAAGGAACUGACACCUGUGCCCAAACCUUGGCAGAAAAAGGCACGUUCAUUGUGCAGCAGAGUUGUAGAUCCAUGUGUCCUCAAGGCAGCAGAGAGGAGCACACUUUACCCUUGCAAAGAGAAACAGAAAACUGCAUUACAAGAAUACCUUGAAGCUGGAAAGCUAGUAAUACCUAAUUGAGCAACUUGCCUGAUCUUGGCAUUAUUUCUGAAACUUGGAAGACAAAAGAGGAGGAGGCAGAGAACAUACUGAGGUUCACAGUGGCAUGAAAAAGGUAAUGCUCAAACUGGAACUGGGGAGGAUCUGCCUGGAUUCAAGGAAAAAUAAAUUUGCCAAGAGGGUAAUUAAGCUUUGGACC